rnacentral:lncRNA from 1 species
GUAAGUUUGAUUUAAAAUCUGGUUUUUGGCAAGUAAAAAUGCACCCAGAUUCAAUAGAAUGGACAGCUUUCACUAGCCCGGAAGGACAUUUUGAAUGGUUAGUUAUGCCAUUUGGAUUAAAAAAUGCCCCUAGUAUUUUUCAAAGAGAAAUUGAUAGUAUUUUUAGUAAGCAUAAUAAAUUUAUUAUAGUUUAUAUAGAUGAUAUUUUAGUAUUCAGUAAAAAUAGGCGAGAACAUAGAGGUCAUUUACAGAUUCUUUUUUCAGAAUUUAUUAAACAUGGUCUAAUUAUAAAUAAAAAGAAAAUGUUUUUAUUUAAAGAAUAUAUAGAAUUUUUAGGAGUAAAUAUAGGAAAGGGAAAAAUAGAGUUACAACCUCAUAUAGCUCAAAAAGCUUUAGAUUUUUCAGAUAAACUUGAAGACCUUAAGCAGUUACAAAACUUUUUAGGAUUAGUUAAUUAUGCUAGACCCUUUAUUAAAGAUUUAGGAAAAAUUGCAGGACCUUUAUAUGGAAAAACUUCACCAAAAGGUCAAAGAUAUUUUAAUAUAGAAGAUAUUAAAUUAAUCCAAAAAAUAAAGAGAAAUUAAAAGACUUACCUAAAUUAUCUAUGCCAUUAGAUACAGACUAUUUAAUUAUAGAAACAGAUGGAAGUAUAACAGGAUGGGGAGCAAUUUUAAUUGCAAAACCCAAUAAAUAUGCAGAUAAGG